ensembl:lncRNA
UCCCGGCGGCUCAGUCCCGGCUCGGCGUCCCGGCGGCGGGGAGCGGGGGGGACCCGGGACGAGCGGGCAUCGCCUGCGCAGCUCCGGGGGGGCCGGGCGAGGCUUCCCCCCCCACCCUCCCCGUUCGCCUCCCGUCCCUCCCCGCCGCGUUAUUAAUAUCCAGCCCCAAAGGUGCGCCCAGCCCUCCCCGGCCGCCCGUUAACCCUUGGGGGCCCGGAGCUCCGGCGGUCGGGGGAGGGGGGGGGGGGGGAAUGGUGGCGUUUCGGGGGGGGUGCAGGUGCUGCAAAGCAACAUCAGCGCCCCCCCCGGGACCCCCCAGCCCCAGCUGCGGAAGGGAAGAGGCACCAGGACCCCCCCGCACGGCCGUAUCCCGAUCCGGGACCCCCCGGUGCUGGGCAUCCCCGAGCGUGGGGAGCACCGAGGGGGUCCCGGCUUCGUGAUCGACGUCUUCUGGGGGGGCUUCGGGGGCCGGAGCGGUGGGUGCUGGCUGCGGGGAGGGGGGGGCACCCAGCACUCUUGGGCCCCACGGGCACCCCCAGCCCGGAGCUGAAGGGGUUACAGUGUGGGGGUGCGGGUGUCCCUUGGGGUGUCCCUGGUGAGGAGCAGAGCGGGCAGGAUGGUCCCGGGGCGCGCAGGGGCCGAGCCGCCCCCCGGCUGGUACAUCCGGGACGAGGGCAGCGGGAUGCUCUACAAGAGGGGACGGCUCCUAGGACAGGGCACCUUCGGGCGCUGCUACCAGGUGACAGAGGUGACCAGUGGCCGGGUCUACGCGGCCAAGGUCAUCCCGCGAGCCCGGCUCGCCACUCUGGGCAUCGGGGACAGGGUGAGUCCGCGGGGGACACCCCCCAGGGACGGGGGGGACAACACCCAUGGGGUCACCGCGGAGCCCCACAACCCUGCCCGUGCCUCUCCCCGGGUCUCUGGGUGGGUUCCCAUCCCCGUGGGGUGCGUGCUCGGUGGUCCCCGGAUCCCGAGGGUCCCCCGGGGGCUGGCGGGCUCCUGUCGGUGCAGGUGGAGCGGGAGCGGGAGCUGCAGUGUCACCUGCGCCACCGGCACAUCGUGCGCCUGCACGGGCACUUCACCGACCGCGGCCACCUCUACCUGCUGCUGGAGCUCUGCAGCCGGGGGUCCCUCGCCGACAUCCUGCGGGCGCGGGGCCGCCUCACGGAGCCGGAGGUCCGGUACUACCUGCGGCAGCUCCUCUCGGGGCUGCGGUACCUGCACGGACACGGCCUCGUGCACCGGGACCUCAAACUGAGCAACUUCUUGGUGACGGAGCGGAUGCGGGUGAAGAUCGGGGACCUGGGGCUGGCACAGCGGGCGGCACCGGCCGGGCGGCGCUGGGGGUGAGCGGGGAUAGGGGUGGCUGCAGAGAGGGGGUUUCACUCUGCCCGUGUCCCCGGGGGUCACCUCUCCUGUCCCCGCCUCAGGGCACUCUGUGGGACACCCAAUUACCUGGCCCCGGAGGUGCUGGACCGCAGGGGACACGCGGUGCCCUCGGACAUCUGGGCCCUGGGCUGUGCGGUGUGAGCGGGGGCGGCGGGGGGGCUGCAGGGAGGAUGAGGGGGCUGGACAGAGGGCGAAGGGAGAUGGAGGGAGGAUGA